GUUGAACCAGUAAACCGGUGCAAAGUUCUAAACCGUAAAAUAUUAUUGACGGCUUGAAAAUAUCUAACUUUGCAACUGCAGAUUCGCCAAGUUCGACCGACACACGUACAUAAUCAAUCACAAUGCCUAACAGUGCUUGGCCAGCUCAGCCCAUGAAGGUCUUGGGACCUCAGAUUAGACAUUGGGGACCAUUCAUGGUACCUUGUAUGUUGAUUACCGGUUAUGUUAUGGCUAAGGCUUCACUAGCAGGAUACAGAGCAAAGAAAGCAGCAGCAGCGGCAGGUGGUGGAUCAGGUCAUCAUUAAACAAUGAUUGGUCAGGAUAACAACUCUCCUUCAAUCUACAAAUACCAAACAUGAAUCGAGCUGUAUUCUACUUUGACACACCACCGGAAAAGUUCCUUUUUGCAACAAUAUCAGAAUGGCGUUGCAUCAUCUGCCCACUGCGAUAUCAUCAAGAACUCCAGAUGCUUGGAUACAUUAUGGAAACAUUUCUGCUAGUACCUUUUUUCCUCGAUGUUGAACUGUUUUCCUGACCCAUCAUAACUUUAGUAAAUUAAGCCAUUUUUGUAAUUAGAAAAUGUAUUGUAAAAAUAACAUUUCUUCAUUGCUGUGGAAGUUGUAUGUGCAAAUCUUGCAUUAAAUAUAUGAAUCAUAAA